UACGUAGGGCGCGAGCGUUGUCCGGAAUUAUUGGGCGUAAAGAGCUCGUAGGCGGUUUGGCGCGUCUGCUGUGAAAACUCGGGGCUUAACCCCGGGCCUGCAGUGGGUACGGGCAGACUAGAGUGCGGUAGGGGAGACUGGAAUUCCUGGUGUAGCGGUGAAAUGCGCAGAUAUCAGGAGGAACACCGGUGGCGAAGGCGCGUCUCUGGGCCGUAACUGACGCUGAGGAGCGAAAGCGUGGGGAGCGAACAGG
rnacentral:rRNA from 1 species